rnacentral:rRNA from 1 species
AACGAACGCUGGCGGCAUGCCUAACACAUGCAAGUCGAACGAGACCUUCGGGUCUAGUGGCGCACGGGUGCGUAACGCGUGGGAACCUGCCCUUAGGUUCGGAAUAACUCCCCGAAAGGGGUGCUAAUACCGGAUAAUGUCUUCGGACCAAAGAUUUAUCGCCUUUGGAUGGGCCCGCGUUGGAUUAGCUAGUUGGUAGGGUACAAGCCUACCAAGGCGACGAUCCAUAGCUGGUCUGAGAGGAUGAUCAGCCACACUGGGACUGAGACACGGCCCAGACUCCUACGGGAGGCAGCAGUGGGGAAUAUUGGACAAGGGGCGAAAGCCUGAUCCAGCAAUGCCGCGUGAGUGAUGAAGGCCUUAGGGUUGUAAAGCUCUUUUACCCGGGAUGAUAAUGACAGUACCGGGAGAAUAAGCUCCGGCUAACUCCGUG